CCUACGGGAGGCAGCAGUGGGGAAUAUUGCACAAUGGGGGAAACCCUGAUGCAGCGACGCCGCGUGAGUGAAGAAGUAUUUCGGUAUGUAAAGCUCUAUCAGCAGGGAAGAAAAUGACGGUACCUGAUUAAGAAGCCCCGGCUAACUACGUGCCAGCAGCCGCGGGAAUACGUAGGGGGCAAGCGUUAUCCGGAUUUAAUGGGUGUAAAGGGAGCGUAGACGGGUGCGCAAGACUGGAGGGAAAUGCCGGGGCUUAACCCCGGAACUGCUUUGGAAACUGUGCAGCUAGAGUGCAGUAGAGGUAAGUGGAAUUCCAAGUGUAGCGGUGAAAUGCGUAGAUAUUAGGAGGAACACCAGUGGCGAAGGCGGCUUACUGGACUGUAACUGACGUUGAGGCUCGAAAGCGUGGGGAGCAAACAGGAUUAGAUACCCUUGUAGUC
rnacentral:rRNA from 1 species